UACGUAGGGUCCGAGCGUUGUCCGGAAUUACUGGGCGUAAAGCGCGCGCAGGCGGCCCGCGAGGUGUCACGUGAAAGCCCGGCUCAACCCGGGAGGUCGUGGCAAACCGGCGGCUUGAGGCCGGUAGAGGUGGGUGGAACUCCUGGUGGAGUGGUGAAAUGCGUAGAGAUCAGGAAGAACAACCCGUGGCCGAAGGCGGCCCACUGG
rnacentral:rRNA from 1 species